rnacentral:rRNA from 1 species
CCUACGGGAGGCUGCAGUGGGGAAUAUUGCACAAUGGGCGCAAGCCUGAUGCAGCCAUGCCGCGUGUGUGAAGAAGGCCUUCGGGUUGUAAAGCACUUUCAGCGGGGAGGAAGGCGGUGAGGUUAAUAACCUCAUCGAUUGACGUUACCCGCAGAAGAAGCACCGGCUAACUCCGUGCCAGCAGCCGCGGUAAUACGGAGGGUGCAAGCGUUAAUCGGAAUUACUGGGCGCAAAGCGCACGCAGGCGGUCUGUCAAGUCGGAUGUGAAAUCCCCGGGCUCAACCUGGGAACUGCAUUCGAAACUGGCAGGCUAGAGUCUUGUAGAGGGGGGUAGAAUUCCAGGUGUAGCGGUGAAAUGCGUAGAGAUCUGGAGGAAUACCGGUGGCGAAGGCGGCCCCCUGACAAAGACUGACGCUCAGGUGCGAAAGCGUGGGGAGCAAACAGGAUUAGAUACCCCAGUAGUC